rnacentral:rRNA from 1 species
GACAGAGGCCUCAAGCGUUAGGCGGAAUCACUGGGCUUAAAGCGUGUGUAGGCGGAUCGUUAAGUGUCUUGUGAAAUCCCACGGCUCACCCGUGGAACGGCUGGGCAUACUGGCGAUCUUGGGCCAACUAGGGGCAACUGGAACAAGCGGUGGAGCGGUGAAAUGCGUAGAUAUCUGGAGGAACACCGGUGGCGAAGGCGGCAUCCUGGACCGAUACUGACGCUGAUGCGCGAAAGCCAGGGGAGCAAACGGG